ensembl:snRNA U1 U1 spliceosomal RNA
AUACUUAACUGGCAGAGGAGAUGUUACAAUCAUGAAGACGGUUUUCCCAGGGGUGAGGCUGACCCACUGAAUUCUACAUGUGAUGGCACCAGCAAUUUCCCCAAAUGUGGGCAACUCGGCUGCAUAACUCAUGGUAGUUGUGGACUUCAUUCAUACUCUCCUUUG